GGAUUGUGGCUCAGCGGUGAGCGCUCGCCUAGCACAUCGAGGCCCUGGGUUCGAUCCUCAGCACCA
rnacentral:tRNA from 1 species